UUAAAAUGGUCUGCAAGCAACCACAAUCAAUGUGGAACUGUGAAAGAAACGCAGGAGGGAAAUGGCGCCCCUUAUCUCCUUAAACAGCUAUAAACCCGUCUGUGCCAGGGCAAUUGUACCUCAAUCUCAGAAAGCUGAUUUCAAUUCUCUGAAAUCUCCCUCCAUAACUGUAAACCAGAGCCGGAUCUUUUCCAUUUCCAUUAGAACCCCAAGGGCAAGGCGUUGCAUCUCUGUCGUCGUUAAUAAAUCGGGCACAGACUCUCACCAAAACAAUCAACAAGAUGAGGAAGCCAACAAUUUAGGAGUUAAAGCUGCAUUAUCCGUGCUGAGAUUCUACAAAAGGGAAAUCUCGCCUUUGUUGCCAAAAAGCUGUCGAUAUGUUCCAACAUGCAGUGAGUAUUCGAUGAUAGCUUACAAGAAGUAUGGUGUUGUCAAGGGCACCAUCUUGACCGGCUGGCGUCUCUGUCGCUGUAAUCCCCUUGGCGGCUCUGGUUUUGAUCCUCCACGAUGGUUUGAUGAGCAAAUUCCACCUGAAGAUGAUGAGAUAUCAUAAUCUUUUCAGUAUUUCGGCUGCCCAGCUUACAGGCUCAAAUUUAAGAGAUAUCAAGAAUUGAUGGAAAAGAAAGGCCAUGACGCUCCUGCAUCUCUAGCCAUUAACGCCUGCAUUUCAUUUCUAAUCUUCUUCAAUUCUUUGUGUUCUUCUAAGGACCUUUGAGGUCUAAUAUGUUGGUGUUUAUUGGCGAGAUAUAUGAAGGACCUACAACCUGCAUGCCUUUGUGGAUUUGAAGGAUAAUCAAUUCUUGGUUGUUUUGAUUUUUCCUUUUUGAGAUAUGUAUUUUGUUGUUUUGAAACUAGGAGAAAAAGGGCUCAACCAUAUUUUUUUCAAGGAAAAUAGAUUUUAGCCAUGGUUUCAGCAUGGAUUUUUCUCUAAUUAGAAUUAAUCGUUUUUUUUUUUAAUAUGUAUUUUGCUUUAUUAAGUCUAAAAUGGUAUGCUUGAUUUGAGGCUAAAAUCUUGUAUUCAGUUGCAAAAUAGAUCAUAAAAUUGAAUAUGUGAUUAGAA